GUUCUACUUGGGGUUGUAUGGUUACAGAAGAGGGAGGACGUUCUUUUUGAAACACUGUGAGAGGAAGUUCCAGGAACUGAGAGUCUUAAGAAAGUGUGAUGUCAUCUGUUCACGACACGGACCCUGUUGCUCACAUUUGAUCUGUCAUGCUGAGUCAUAUUUAUGCCUCCAGCAGAAGACUUCUGGGACAAAUGUAGACAUGUUAAGAGUGCAGUGCAGGUUUCUAUCUCUACACACCAAAUUGUAAGUACUGGAUAGCUUUGCCACUUUUAGCAUUGAACUUCUGAAAAACAGAGGGGGCUACACUAAUCAACACCUUGAACAAAUCAAUUUGUAGACUUGGUAGUUUGAAUGUUCAACAUGAUUAUUUUAAAUGUUGAAAUGAAUAUAUAUAUUUUGUAAUCAUUUGACCUAUUCUACCUUUGUGUAUUGCAUGUAUCCAAUUAGUUUCAAAGCAUGCAUUGUUUAUGAAUUUCCAUUUUCUGGAAGCAGAAGUCUACAGCCUGGCACUGUAUUGGGGAAUUGGAUCAGCCUGUACCUGUCAUAAACUGUCAGGCUCACUACCAAAUCACCUCACGUAACAAGGCAACAUAUAACAAGUUCUCAACACUCACAAACACUGAUAAAUUCAAUGUUUACUAUUUGUAGUGCAAAUACAAACACACUGAACACAGAUUUCUCGACCACAUUGGCUGUUAAUUAAACCCAUGCUCCUGUCAGGGGUGGGAAAUGGAAAGUGAUUGCAUGAGGUUGUAGAUUGGGCUGAUAUAAAAUAUGUUAUUGUGGACAGGAAGAUCCUGACACAGUGACCAGAGACAAAUGAAAUUAGUUUAAUCAGAGAUUGUCUGUGGAUUAUUUAUACACUGACAGACAAUGCUUACAGUAAUAUCUACUAAUAUUCUUGCCAUUUCCUGUCUGUUGAUGAACCCAUCCUUUUGAGUUGUGAUAACCUUUUCAAUUGAUAAUAAAUAAAGAUCCCAAUAAAAUGCAUUUGGAACAGGAAUGAGAGGCAUUGAGAGCUACUGUUAUUUUGAGGCAGCAAUACAUAUUCAUGUUUAUGAAUAAUAAUACAUAUUAAUGUCCAAACACACACACACACACACACACAAAUCUCUGUCAUGGAAUACAAUGGACAAUAAUGAGUUUAAAGAACACAUGGCGCAUAUUCAACUCCAAUGUCAUCUCUCUCAAACCCAAAUUGGGAGUUUGGUUGGCUGGCUUGUGCAUGAUCCCUGGCUAUGGAACUGGCUUUUUCAUAAUCAGUUCUUAUUAUCCGCCCCGUUCUUCUUCAUUAUCUGCCAUCAAAGCAGUUGUAUAGAUUUUUCUAUACCCCAAGACUCCUGCAGCUGUGUGUCUGGAGGGUGUUCUUUAAUCAUUCAUCAGUGGAAAAUGAGCCCAGCUGUCUGGCUGUGAGCACCCAGCUACUCUAAGCUAAUAAGGCCCUAAGUGACAACCAUAAUGGCAUGUAUAUUAGCUCAUUACGAGAGCAGAUUCAUGCUUUUUCUGUGCGUGUUUGUGGUAAGCAUUUGACAAUCUGGUACAGGUUUUGAUACAUUUCAGUAUUGAUUUUGAUCCGGUAAAUAUUUAGAUCAGAUGCCUACACCUUUCUAACAUAAAUCCAAUAAUGUGCAUGUGCAGCUGUUUUAGUGUCUGAAAUCACCACCUGCCUUACAUCCUUUCUAUCCCUUGAUUUUAUGCUGAAUAGGACAGUGUAUUUCAUGCACAACUAUGAGGAACUGGAGCAAAAUCAUGCAGUUAAAGGAUAACACAUUCUAUUUUAACAAGUUAAAUCUCCCGAGUGCUUUGCUAUAUCAGGUGACCGACUAUGCAGUAUGCUUGUAUGCUGAAUAGGGAGUUCUGCUCUACUAGACAUGAAGGUCAGAACAUAAACAGCACAUAGCAGACACAACUUAAUUAGUUGUCAUCUCUGCGACAAACUACAAAAAUCUGCUGUUUUACACAUUACAUUAUACAUUAUAUUGACCCUCAUAUGAGAGCCCUUGCUCUCGCAAGGAGUAAUGUGGGAGCCGAACAUAUGCAAAUUUCAUUUUGCUGCAAGCCAAUACAAAGAGGAUGGAAGAAACAGGAAGACCGAUGAUAGAGACUUUUUAUGCUUAUCAGCAACAUACAUCAGUGCUUGGCUAGGACAGACGCUUUAUCUUUACUCUCCAGCCCCAGAACAGACGUACUAGAUUAGGAACAUUAAUGAAUAAAAGUAUAGUCAAACGUUAGAUGUAUAGAACAUCAGAAAUACUUAUUUUAAAUAAUCUCAAGCAAGAGUUACAAAUUGUCUGCAUUGGGAGUUGUCGGAACACAGUUGACCUUCUGAAUCACCAGUAGAUGGUGCUGCAGUGUUCUCGAUGACUGUCUGUAGCUCUUGGUGAGCUUGACUGAAUGCAGGCUUGCACUUGUAUGAACACCUCAAGGACAAGAGGAACGCAGCAGAAAUAGAAGUCACAAGAUGGAUCACAGACAGUUUAGGCACUUAUGACCUUGUAACCCACUAUGGUUUGAGAAAUGUUGAUCUCUGGAGAUGGAAUGUUGGAGUUUGACAGUGUGGUGAUGGGAAGGCAGUGUGACGGCCUGUGUUUGCAGAGGUGGAGAUCCUGCCUGGGCCCCAGGUCAGUGGAUUUCACACUCCCCUGAAACACUCACAAGGAGAACGUGCAGGAACACAGUUGUAUUUUCCUAAUCACCAUGCCGUCCGUCCGUCCGUCCCCGUCCUCAACACUCUUACUCUCUCGUUCUCUCUUCCUUUAUGUCUCCAUCCCCCGCUUUCUCUCUCUCAAACACAUGCACACAUGGCAACUCACAAAUAUGCAAGUAAACACUGUGCUAAACUCUGAAUGAGUUUUUGUGGUAUGUGGUCAAAGAGCAGUCAAGUAAUCCAUGGCAGCAUGGAAAAACACACCAAACUAAACUCCUACUUGACGAAGGUCUCAGCAUGAAUAGCAUAAUUACAUUCAGAACAAAAGCCAUUUGUGCUGUAUAAUUCAUGUAAAACAGCUCAUUGAAGUCCCUAGACAUAGAUUCGAAAUUCACCUUAACUGAAAUGGCCAGAUUCAGCUUAAUUGGCUUCCACUGUGGGUAUAAUUUUCUCCCUAGAAAGUCACCUCAUAGCCCUGACCAACUUUUAUUCAAUGGAUGUUUUGUUUGUGGGUCACCUUGCAGGGCAUCUAAUUGUCUCUUCUUUAAUGGCAUCUAGUGUCGCCCACACAUGUUGAGUUGCAGGGAGGAGAGGAAUUGAGGGCAUGGGGUCAUAGUUGACAGACAGGGGCAGUCGCCACCAUGCUCCCACUGAGUGUGUGUUUAACAUUCCACUCACACAACUGCCUGGAUAUGCUGAAACAGAGCACUGGCCAACAUAAGAUCUACAAAUUGCGUUGGGGUUCAGGGACUGUGUGAGCCAUCGUUGGUGAGUCUUGAGGCUGAUUCCUACUCUGCUCACACAUACAAGAGCCCCCCCACCUGAUGGCAAGACUGAACAUUAUCUGGACCUUGGCAUCGAGAAGAAUUACUUGACUGCACAGAAUUUUUGGGGCCUCCUUCUGUGUCCCCUGUGGGUGAGGUUAAAGUGUUAUAAAACAGAAAUAUAGAAAGCUGAGUUUUCUUUUUUGGGACAUUGGAACCCACUUUAAUAGUGCCAGAGCAAUAAUUGUAAUGUUAUUUUCAGUGUUGCGCUACAUCUCCAGCGUUGCAGUGAGGCCCAUUUCACUUCCUCUGCCAAACACUGUUCCUGCAAUUUACCUGAACCAACCAUAAAAAAGUGGUGCCCUUGUUCUGAAAGCAAAAAAUCGGUUCUUCUUGCAGUAAGACUAACAUUAUUAUCAGGUCGUUACAAAUCAUUGACUCUAAACCCCAGGACAUGGAACUCAACAUCAACAUCAUUCAUUGACGACUGCAGCAGUCUUAAAGGUCCAUUCCUAUUUGGAACAGGACAAACAUGGUUGAGAGUAGAUGCAUUUGAUCAAAUGUGAAUGCUAUUAAAAAAGAAUACAGUGCCAUUACCCAGUGUUAUGGUCAAGAUGUAUUAUACUUAAUCCAUAUCAUGGUCCCCCUGGGCCCACAUGCUCUGUUCCUACUUAAGUCCAGACUGAGUCCAAUGUUUUUAACACUGAGAUUGUUUCCCAGCUCUGGCAGCCUCCAGCUCCUCAGCCUGUAGAGUCUGGAGCGAGAGAUUCCCUCACCUCAGUGUCAUUUUCACAGCACAUGGCAUUUAGCGCUUUCUUGAGCGCUCUAUGCACUGUACCAGACCUUAAACGCCUCCAGCAGGUUGCCACUGUUUCAGCGCUCCACACAAGGAAGGUCUGGAGGGAAUCCUCCCUGCCAGCUUGAUCCUUUUGUCAGCCUCCAGAAGUGAGUCAUCAGCAGUUCACAUAAUCUAUGUGCCAGAGUAAACCUUUCAGGUAAGAAUGAUUCUAAUCUGACCUUAGUAUUACAUGAAAAGCUGUACUGCAUAAAACUGGUCAACCACCCGCUGUGACACAGGGUGACCACUGUCACAUGACCACUGUCACACCCGUUAGUAAAUAGCAAAUACAUAAAUAUCAGUAUUAUCACUCUAAACAUGCAAGAUCCAAUUUCGGUGUUAAGGAGAAGGUUAUCAACAGGACUUUGACUAGCACAACAGCCAGGUAUCUGUGGGUGCAGGAAGUGAAGCAGCUGAGCACCGUGGUGGUCAGUAUUCUAGAAUGUACUGUUCACCCCAGCCACUGACCUCCUGUCAUCUCUGACUGGGAGACGCACACCUGAAAAUGCCUCGGACAACAGGUGGUCUGUGUUUGUGUCGCCCACAGCUCAUCGAUCAGAUGUACAGCCGUUUAUCCUGAACCCUGCUGCCCAGGCACCGGCUGUGACAUGCUCUGUUUCCUGACGAUUAUAUUUCACUGAGGCUCUAAAUCACUCAGCUUGAACUAAUCUAGAUGGGGGAAGAAGUUUUCCAACAGAGAUGAGAUUGCAGGCCAUGAAAAGGGAGAAGAUUAGAAUCCCAAUACUGCUGAUUCAACAAUACAGCCAGGACUGAAAUAGCCAACAUUUUCCAUUUUGACACCCCCGUCUCAAUCUCUCUCUCACUGGUAGAAGCUUAUUGCCACUGAUAGCUGGCUCCCACAUGGUUGGGUUUUGUUCCUGGAGCGUGCCAAACAUGUUGACAGAUGUCACCCAGCGUCGGCCCAGACAGGGACAGAUCCCAGCGGCACAGGGCGAUGGGAUGAGGGAUCAGCUGAGUGCUGGGGGCAUGUGCUCCAGUCAGCCUUGAGUAACGGGACCGUGUUUCACACCGCCUGUUCACCUCUGGAGGGACUCGGACCACGUCCCUCGAUCCCUGGCUGCACGGUGUCCGGCCAAGCUUGUGGGGUCUGCCAAGAGAGACGAGCCUCACCGGUCCUGGACCACUGGUGCUCACACGGGUUCAGAAGAGCCCGGACCUGCCUCAUAUUUUUGUAUUUUAUAUAAUUUUUGUAUUUUAAAUUGUAUUUUAUACUGUAAAUUAGCA